rnacentral:rRNA from 1 species
AAUGGGGGAAACCCUGACGCAGCACGCCGCGUGGAGGAUGAAGCCCCUUGGGGCGUAACUCCUUUCGACCAAGACGAUAAUGACGGUACUGGUGGAAGAAGCACCGGCUAACUCUGUGCCAGCAGCCGCGGUAAUACAGAGGGUGCGAGCGUUGUUCGGAAUUAUUGGGCGUAAAGGGCGCGUAGGCGGUGCCACAAGUCACCUGUGAAAUCCCCGGGCUUAACUCGGGGCCUGCAGGCGAAACUGUGGUGCUGGAGUAUGGGAGAGGUGCGUGGGAUUCCCGGUGUAGCGGUGAAAUGCGUAGAUAUCGGGAGGAACACCUGUGGCGAAAGCGGCGCACUGGACCAUAACUGACGCUGAGGCGCGAAAGCUAGGGGAGCAAACAGGAUUAGAUACCCUGGUAGUCCUAGCCCUAAACGAUGAUUGCUUGGUGUAGCAGGUACCCAAUCCUGCUGUGCCGCAGCUAACGCGAUAAGCAAUCCGCCUGGGGAGUACGGUC